rnacentral:rRNA from 1 species
CCUACGGGAGGCAGCAGUGGGGAAUAUUGCACAAUGGGCGAAAGCCUGAUGCAGCGACGCCGCGUGAGGGAUGACGGCCUUCGGGUUGUAAACCUCUUUCAGCAGGGAAGAAGCGAAAGUGACGGUACCUGCAGAAGAAGCGCCGGCUAACUACGUGCCAGCAGCCGCGGUAAUACGUAGGGCGCAAGCGUUGUCCGGAAUUAUUGGGCGUAAAGAGCUCGUAGGCGGCUUGUCACGUCGGUUGUGAAAGCCCGGGGCUUAACCCCGGGUCUGCAGUCGAUACGGGCAGGCUAGAGUGUGGUAGGGGAGAUCGGAAUUCCUGGUGUAGCGGUGAAAUGCGCAGAUAUCAGGAGGAACACCGGUGGCGAAGGCGGAUCUCUGGGCCAUUACUGACGCUGAGGAGCGAAAGCGUGGGGAGCGAACAGGAUUAGAUACCCUGGUAGUCCACGCCGUAAACGGUGGGAACUAGGUGUUGGCGACAUUCCACGUCGUCGGUGCCGCNGCUACGCAUAGUUACCCGUCCGUGGGAGGUACGGCCGCGAGACGUAAACGUACGAAAGAAGUUAAGUACGGCGUUGAGACGUUGCGAACGGCGACGACGAGGGAGGAGG